rnacentral:misc_RNA from 1 species
UAGUGCCCCGUGACUUCGCCGCCGAACACCGCGUUGGUCUCGCGCAUCCGCCGCUUGAAGAACGCGUGCCCGACCCGGUUCAUCAGCGAGGUGCCGCCGUAUUUCGCCACCGUGUCUUUCACCGCGUAGCUGGCGCGCAGGUCGUAGAUGAUCGUCGACCCCGGGCUCUUGAUGAGGAACGCCUCGGCGAGCAGCGCGGUGAUGAAAUCGCCCGACGCGAACGCGCCGGU